rnacentral:rRNA from 1 species
GACGAACCGUGCGAACGUUGUUCGGAAUCACUGGGCUUAAAGGGCGCGUAGGCGGGCCGCCAAGUCCGCGGUGAAAUCCCCCGGCUCAACCGGGGAACUGCCGCGGAUACUGGAGGUCUCGAGGGGGUAGGGGCAUGCGGAACUGCGGGUGGAGCGGUGAAAUGCGUUGAUAUCCGCAGGAACUCCGGUGGCGAAGGCGGCGGUGCUGG